AAACAUCAUCUUAGCACCUCACUG
rnacentral:piRNA from 1 species